CACAGUCAUGUUCUCUCUCCACAUUUUCACACAGCACAUGAAAUACAUUUGCUUCAGGCACAUAUUGGCACAUAUAUUCAUUCAGCCCCCUCUACCUAGAAGGCUUUUCCGAUACAUUUUCACAUGACACAUUUGACACCCCUUGGUUAGGCACACACUCAGGGCCGGCGCGUCCAUAAGGCGGCACAGGAGGCCGCCUUAGGGCGCACCGGCACUGGAGG